rnacentral:rRNA from 1 species
GAUGAACGCUGGCGGCGUGCCUAAUACAUGCAAGUCGAGCGAACAGACGAGGAGCUUGCUCCUCUGAUGUUAGCGGCGGACGGGUGAGUAACACGUGGAUAACCUACCUAUAAGACUGGGAUAACUUCGGGAAACCGAAGCUAAUACCGGAUAAUAUCUUGAACCGCGUGGUUCAAAAGUGAAAGACGGUUUUGCUGUCACUUAUAGAUGGAUCCGCGCUGCAUUAGCUAGUUGGUAAGGUAACGGCUUACCAAGGCAACGAUGCGUAGCCGACCUGAGAGGGGGAUCGGCCACACUGGAACUGAGACACGGUCCAGACUCCGACGGGAGGCAGCAGUAGGGAAUCUUCCGCAAUGGGCGAAAGCCUGACGGAGCAACGCCGCGUGAGUGAUGAAGGUCUUCGGAUCGUAAAACUCUGUUAUUAGGGAAGAACAAAUGUGUAAGUAACUAUGCACGUCGUGACGGUACCUAAUCAGAAAGCCACGGCUAACUACGUG